rnacentral:snRNA from 1 species
UCAGCCCUUUGUCGCUAAGA